UCUUCUUCCCUGCUGUAACUGGAAAUUGUUGCUGUGCUAACCUCUCUGGCGAUCUGAAGGAUCCUGCUGUGGCUAUCCCAAAGGGAACCUUGGGUGCCAUCUUUACUACAUUUAUCACGUACAUCAUUUACCCAAUUUUCUUGGGGGCAGCCACUCUUCGUGAUGCUUCAGGCAAUGUCACCGUGUAUGAAAACUUAUUAAACGAAA